rnacentral:tRNA from 1 species
GCCUCGGUAGCACAACUGGAAGUGCAACACUCUUCUAAAGUGUAGGUUCAGCGUUCGAGUCGCUGUCGGGGUACCA